GGGGCUGUCGGCUAGCCAGGUCUAGAAGGCUUAUCAUGAAAAGCCCGGACUGGCCGCGUGGCUUGGGCCCACGAAAUCGCCGGUUCAAAUCCGGCCAGCCCCACCA
rnacentral:tRNA from 2 species